rnacentral:rRNA from 1 species
UACGUAGGGUGCGAGCGUUAAUCGGAAUUACUGGGCGUAAAGCGUGCGCAGGCGGUUCGUUGUGUCGGCGGUGAAAGCCCCGGGCUUAACCUGGGAAUGGCCGUUGAAACUGGCGAACUGGAGUGUGGCAGAGGGGGGUAGAAUUCCACGUGUAGCAGUGAAAUGCGUAGAGAUGUGGAGGAAUACCGAUGGCGAAGGCAGCCCCCCUGGGAUAACACUGACGCUCAUGCACGAAAGCGUGGGGAGCAAACAGG